rnacentral:rRNA from 1 species
AUUGAACGCUGGCGGCAGGCUUAACACAUGCAAGUCGAGCGGGGUGAUGGUGCUUGCACUAUCACUUAGCGGCGGACGGGUGAGUAAUGCUUAGGAAUCUGCCUAUUAGUGGGGGACAACAUCUCGAAAGGGAUGCUAAUACCGCAUACGUCCUACGGGAGAAAGCAGGGGAUCACUUGUGACUUUGCGCCAAUAGAUGAGCCUAAGUCGGAUUAGGUAGUUGGUGGGGUAAAGGCCUACCAAGGCGACGAUCUGUAGCGGGUCUGAGAGGAUGAUCCGCCACACUGGGACUGAGACACGGCCCAGACUCCUACGGGAGGCAGCAGUGGGGAAUAUUGGACAAUGGGGGGAACCCUGAUCCAGCCAUGCCGCGUGUGGGAAGAAGGCCUUAUGGUUGUAAAGCACUUUAAGCGAGGAGGAGGCUCUUUUGGUUAAUACCCAAGAUGAGUGGACGUUACUCGCAGAAUAAGCACCGGCUAACUCUGUGCCAGCAGCCGCUGUAAAAC